CCGGUAACCCAUCAGAGGGGAGUAACACUUGGAAACAGGUGCUAAUACCGCAUAACAGUUAUGCCGCAUGGCAUAAGAGUGAAAGGCGCUUUCGAGUGUCGCUGAUGGAUGGACCCGCGGUGCAUUAGCUAGUUGGUGAGGUAACGGCUCACCAAGGCCACGAUGCAUAGCCGACCUGAGAGGGUGAUCGGCCACACUGGGACUGAGACACGGCCCAG
rnacentral:rRNA from 1 species